rnacentral:sRNA from 1 species
CCGUUUAUGAGGUUCUUUCCUAGUCUAAUCCGUUUCAUAUGAUUCCGUGAUUCAAUAUAUGAGACGAAUAGAGUAAACAAACAAUCGGAUACUUUAUUGAUUAAGCAAAGGAUUCGAUACAACCUAUGAGUUUGCAUAUAAGCUAUUACAAGUCAUAUAAUCGAUCCCUAGACUAUCCGAACUAUCACCACCCAUCAUCCCGGCCUUGAGUCUCUCGCGCCUAAGCCAAGUCCUUCCCACGAUCACCAUUCGUUCCUGAAAGUCAUAGAGCCAUAAGUAAUCUCAUUUACUUAAUCAUAUGCAAGUCCAUGCAAUGCUCUAUAUGCCAUACACUACUCGGAUCCGUGGAGAGAAUUUAGAGAGGGGAAGAUCGCGCAUCAGUCCGGCCGAUUCUCGGCAGGUCAGUUAAGACCUGCCGGUCCUCCGCCGAGCCGCGUCCCCACCUCAGCCGAUCCCUACCCGGACCGAGUCUUGUGUAGGAUGCACAUGACCCGGAUACUACCCAGCCCUCUAGUCGAUCCUUUCAAGGAUCCGACUACUAACUCACAUCCUAGAACCCUUAGACUCAAAGUCUAGGAUCCCUUACCUUCCUUCUCGAGGUUAGGUCGAUCCGACCCUCCUUCUUUAUUGCCGGCCACAGCCCGGCUACCGAAUCCUAAGACUAUUUAUUCUCCCAAGAGGGAGAGAGUUUUAAUGGUGAGUUUCUUGUGUUUUGGGUGUGUUGUGGUGAGUGGAAUGGUCCUGGGCGCCCUUCCUUAUAUAGGGGGCGAAUGAAUGCUUCCCGAAUCAACACAUCCGUUCCUUGCACCUUUCCGAAGAGUUGCACCUUUCCGAAGAGUUGCGCCCUUCCGAAGAGUUGCACCUUUCCGAAGAGUUGUAUCUCUUCGCCCAUAACCGCCCAGCUAGUCCGUCACUUGUCCAGCUACCUCGAGCUCAACCGUCACUCGUCCAGCUACCUCGAGCUCAACCGUCACUCGUCCAGCUGCCCGAGCUGGACUGUCACUCGACCUGAGUAACCGUCACUCCUUCCAGCUGAGCUUGAGCUUUGGGCGAACUGACCCAGCUGAUUUCUUUACGAUCUUAGCUUAGCCUGCAUGAUUUCCCCUUUGUCCGAGCUUAUGGCCAGCUCCUUCUCACUUGUCCGAGACUCCACCUAUUUCU